ACCUUUUUAGUAUACAUAUAGUACAACCUCCUUCCAAGUGGUAAGUUUAACAAAAUUAAAAAAGGUA
rnacentral:tRNA from 1 species